rnacentral:sRNA from 1 species
ACGCGGUCUCUGGGAGACCGGAGCGGGAGACAGCGGUGACAGGAGCAGCGGCCGGGAGCCCUUAGGGAGGCAGAGCCUGCAGCCAACGCCCCAGGAGCCCUCGGUUCCAACCAACUGAUGCCCCUGUGCCCACUGGCCCACACCAUGCAGCCCCAGUCCGUUCUGCACAGCGGCUACUUCCACCCACUGCUUCGGGCCUGGCAGACAGCCACCACCACCCUCAAUGCCUCCAACCUCAUCUACCCCAUCUUUGUCACGAUGAGCGGGGUUCCGCAGCUGACUCCGAGGAGUCCCCAGCUAUUGAGGCAAUCCAUCUGUUGAGGAAGACCUUCCCCAACCUCCUGGUGGCCUGUGACGUCUGCCUGUGUCCCUACACCUCCCAUGGUCACUGCGGUGAGUUCCCUUCCUCCCACCAGCCCUGCUGCCACCCACACUCCUACUGCCCACUUCUCACCAGGGUGGGAACAGGCCAGGGCCCAAGGUGCUCCCCAAAACCCAGUCAUCUGUCCUGCAGGGCUCCUGAGUGAAAAUGGAGCGUUCCAGGCUGAGGAGAGCCGCCAGCG